rnacentral:sRNA from 1 species
UAGGAUUUCAAAGUAUUAUAAUUGGAAGAAUCUGCCAAGGAACGUGUUUAUCUGCUGGUGAGCCACAUGCGGGCCUGCAAUGCCGCCGAAAAUGGCUACCGGUCCCGUUGCUUUAAAUUAUGUAUAUCAAACGGUGUCGGCAUUUCCUCACACAACAGAACCGCCGUCUGAUUAGAACUCAGGCCGGCGACGCUUACUUGGGAUAAUGAAUUUAAGGCCUACUUUAAUUGCAAUUACUAACAAAAUCUAACAAAAACGAUGACGCGCGGACGCUUGCUGGUGACAAAAUUUACAUGUGCCGACUGGAGGAAUUUGGCCACACUACGCGCACUUCGAUGCUGCGGCGUUAAAUUUGAAAGGAGAUUUAAAUGUUAACACGUUUACCACGAAGGCAGGCUCCGGUUUUU